UACGUAGGAGACGAGCGUUGUCCGGAAUUACUGGGCGUAAAGCGCGCGUAGGCGGCUUUGUAAGUUAGAGGUGAAAGCCCGGAGCUCAACUCCGGAACUGCCUUUAAAACUGCAUCGCUUGAAUCCAGGAGAGGUGAGUGGAAUUCCGAGUGUAGAGGUGAAAUUCGUAGAUAUUCGGAAGAACACCAGUGGCGAAGGCGGCUCACUGGACUGGUAUUGACGCUGAGGUGCGAAAGCGUGGGGAGCAAACAGG
rnacentral:rRNA from 1 species